GACGAACGCUGGCGGUGUGCUUAACACAUGCAAGUCGAACGGUAAGGCCCUUUCGGGGGUACACGAGUGGCGCACGGGUGAGUAACACGUGAGUAACCUGCCCUCAUCUCUGGGAUAACAGUCGGAAACGGUUGCUAAUACUGGAUAUGAGCUUGCAAGGCAUCUUGUGGGUUGGAAAGAUUUUUUUUGGUUGGGGAUGGACUCGCGGCCUAUCAGCUUGUUGGUGAGGUAGUGGCUCACCAAGGCUUCGACGGGUAGCCGGCCUGAGAGGGCGACCGGCCACAUUGGGACUGAGAUACGGCCCAAACUCCUACGGGAGGCAGCAGUGGGGAAUAUUGCACAAUGGACGGAAGUCUGAUGCAGCAACGCCGCGUGCGGGAUGACGGCCUUCGGGUUGUAAACCGCUGUCAAUUGUGACGAAGCGUUUUUGUGACGGUAGCAGUAGAAGAAGCACCGGCUAACUACGUG
rnacentral:rRNA from 1 species